rnacentral:ncRNA from 4 species
UACGAAGGGGGCUAGCGUUGUUCGGAUUUACUGGGCGUAAAGCGCACGUAGGCGGAUUGUUAAGUCGGGGGUGAAAUCCUGGAGCUCAACUCCAGAAUUGCCUUCGAUACUGGCUUUCUAGAGGCUGGAAGAGGUUAGUGGAAUUCCCAGUGUAGAGGUGAAAUUCGUAGAUAUUGGGAAGAACACCAGUGGCGAAGGCGGCUAACUGGUCCAGAUCUGACGCUGAGGUGCGAAAGCGUGGGGAGCAAACAGG